AGAGUUUGAUCAUGGCUCAGGGGAUGCUGGCGGCAGGCCUAACACAUGCAAGUCGAGGGAAGGAGAGAAGCUUGCUUCUCUGCUGACGAGCGGCGGACGGGUGAGUAAUACUUGGGAACUUGCCUUUAGGAGUCCCGACAACCACGGGAAACUGUGGCUAAUACCGCAUAAUGUCUUCGGACCAAAGUAGGGGAUCUUCGGACCUUACACCUAAAGAUGGGCCCAAGCGAGAUUAGCUAGUUGGUGGGGUAAAGGCUCACCAGGGCGACGAUCUCUAGCUGUUCUGAGAGGAUGAUCACCCACACUGGGACUGAGACACGGCCCAGACUCCUACGGGAGGCAGCAGUGGGGAAUAUUGCACAAUGGGGGAAACCCUGAUGCAGUCAUGCCGCGUGUGUGAAGAAGGCCUUCGGGUUGUAAAGCACUUUCAGUGGAGAGGAAGGGCGUAAGAUUAAUACUCUUGCGCAUUGACGUUUACCACAGAAGAAGCACCGGCUAACUCCGUGCCAGCAGUCGCGGUAAUACGGAGGGUGCAAGCGUUGAUCGGAAUUACUGGGCGUACAGCGUACGUAGGCGGCUUGUUAAGCAAGAUGUGAAAGCCCCGGGCUCAACCCGGGAAUGGCAUUUUUGAACUGGCAAGCUCGAGUUUUGUAGAGGGUGGUAGAACUUUCCUAUGUAGC
rnacentral:rRNA from 1 species